rnacentral:rRNA from 1 species
UACGUAGGGUGCGAGCGUUAAUCGGAAUUACUGGGCGUAAAGCGUGCGCAGGCGGUUGUGCAAGACCGAUGUGAAAUCCCCGGGCUUAACCUGGGAAUGGCAUUGGUGACUGCACGGCUAGAGUGUGUCAGAGGGGGGUAGAAUUCCACGUGUAGCAGUGAAAUGCGUAGAGAUGCGGAGGAACACCGAUGGCGAAGGCAAUCCCCUGGGCCUGCACUGACGCUCAUGCACGAAAGCGUGGGGAGCAAACAGG